GUCCCCUCACCCCAGCCGUCCCCCUCCCGCACACAUUGCUCGUCCAGACGGCGCUGUCUGCACGCACGCUCCGGGCCUUGCACGCCGCCGUUUUGUCUCGGCUACCAGAGGCACUCAGCCGUGCUUUCCGUAGGACGGCUGUUUUUCCAGAGAGCGCCUUGGUGGGGCUGCAUUACAUCAGCCCCAGCGCUGUGCCAGGCUGCUUCCAAGCAUCGCACUAAUUUGUUUUAAAGAUCAUUUUCUAACGCUAGUUAUUGCACAGGAAAACUGGAAUCCGUGACUGGGUGGAACAGCAGGAGUUUGUACACAUAAACGAGUCCAUCAUCUCUGACUCCAGCACUCAGCCAGCUCCGUGCUUCCCAUGAGAGCUGUCUGGUGCUCAGCAAGUAUUAACACUUCAGCGCUACGCCAAGAAUCUCCUUGUGCUGAAGGAUCUGUUUUUCAACCUGUGGGUCGGCUGCAAUCAAGUCUAACAAACAAGUGGACAUCUCAGAAAGAUGGUGCUGAUUUCUGAUGUCCUGUCAAGAACGCAGGAAGGAAAGAAGGACAGAAGAUUUAGAACACCACAUCUUGUUGGAUUCCUGUUUCAUAAAGCCAAUGGUUGCCCAUCUGGAAACAAUAGAGGUUCAUAGAGUGAAGAGAUCUUUGGAGACUGCCUGGAGGAGUCGAAUGAGUCACACACUGACAACAUAAUUUGUUACCACUAGCACUAUAUUUUACAAAAGUUUUCAUUUCAUUUGUUGUGAGUGGAAAAAUGACAUUAAUAGAGCCAGUAGAAAAGGUGGAAGUAAUGACUGGG
ensembl:lncRNA